UGGGGAAUAUUGCGCAAUGGGGGAAACCCUGACGCAGCAACGCCGCGUGGGCGACGAAGGUCUUCGGAUUGUAAAGCCCUGUCUUCUGGGACGAUAAUGACGGUACCAGAGGAGGAAGCCACGGCUAACUACGUGCCAGCAGCCGCGGUAAUACGUAGGUGGCAAGCGUUGUCCGGAAUUACUGGGCGUAAAGGGUGCGUAGGCGGAUAUUUAAGUGGGAUGUGAAAUACCUGAGCUCAACUCGGGUGCUGCAUUCCAAACUGGAUAUCUAGAGUGCAGGAGAGGAGAAGAAUC
rnacentral:rRNA from 1 species